GACGAACGCUGGCGGCGUGCCUAACACAUGCAAGUCGAACGGGACCAGGGGCAACUCUGGUUCAGUGGCGGACGGGUGCGUAACACGUGAGGAACAUGACCUUCGGCGGGGGAGUAGCCGGCCCAACCGGCCGGGUAAGUACCGCGUACGACCUUUCGGGGUACGAUCCCUGGAUGGUGAAAGACAGCAAUGCGCCGAUGGAGUGCCUCGCGGCCUAUCAGCUAGUUGGUGAGGUAACGGCUCACCAAGGCGACGACGGGGUAGCUGGUCUGAGAGGAUGGCCAGCCACAUUGGGACUGAGACACGGCCCAGACUCCUACGGGAGGCAGCAGUGGGGAAUAUUGCGCAAUGGACGAAAGUCUGACGCAGCGACGCCGCGUGUGGGAUGACGGU
rnacentral:rRNA from 1 species